AAGAGGAGAAAUGGCGUAUGUUUAGACAGGAGAGUCGUAAUGAAAGGGGGAGACAGCGAGCGGAGAGAUCGAGUCGCGAAAGAGGCAAGUGGCAUGACAGGCAGGCGGAAUGACAUGCAGUAAUAAAUACCUACCGCUGGCUUCAUUUCAUGUGAGGAUGUAACCCUCAAUGUCAGCCAGAGGAGGAGUCCAAGUUAAAGAAGCAGAGUCCAGUGUCACAUCUACAGCCCUCAGAUCCUUGGGAGAAUCAAUGUCUGGCCCAGAUAUAGACAGUAUGGAGAACUCCAGGCCUCAAGCCUAUCAGCCUGUAUGAGGUACUAUCACGUGCUACAGAGAUGUCUGAACUGGAUCCCUCA